rnacentral:rRNA from 1 species
CUACGGGCGGCAGCAGUGGGGAAUAUUGCACAAUGGAGGAAACUCUGAUGCAGCAACGCCGCGUGGAGGAUGACACUUUUCGGAGCGUAAACUCCUUUUAUAUAGGAAGAAGAUGACGGUACUAUAUGAAUAAGCGCCGGCUAACUCCGUGCCGGCAGCCGCGGUAAUACGGAGGGCGCGAGCGUUACUCGGAAUCACUGGGCGUAAAGAGCGUGUAGGCGGAUUAAAAAGUCAGAAGUGAAAUCCUAUAGCUUAACUAUAGAACUGCUUCUGAAACUCUUAAUCUAGAAUAUGGGAGAGGUAGAUGGAAUUUCUGGUGUAGGGGUAAAAUCCGUAGAGAUCAGAAGGAAUACCGAUUGCGAAGGCGAUCUACUAGAACAUUAUUGACGCUGAGACGCGAAAGCGUGGGGAGCAAACAGGAUUAGAUACCCGAGUAGUC